UAGGGAAUCUUCCACAAUGGACGCAAGUCUGAUGGAGCAACGCCGCGUGAGUAAAGAAGGUUUUCGGAUCGUAAAGCUCUGUUGUUGGUGAAGAAGGAUAGAGGCAGUAACUGGUCUUUAUUUGACGGUAAUCAACCAGAAAGUCACGGCUAACUACGUGCCAGCAGCCGCGGUAAUACGUAGGUGGCAAGCGUUGUCCGGAUUUAUUGGGCGUAAAGCGAGCGCAGGCGGAAUGAUAAGUCUGAUGUGAAAGCCCACGGCUCAACCGUGGAACUGCAUCGGAAACUGUCAUUCUUGAGUGCAGAAGAGGAGAGUGGAAUUCCAUGUGUAGCGGUGGAAUGCGUAGAUAUAUGGAAGAACACCAGUGGCGAAGGCGGCUCUCUGGUCUGCAACUGACGCUGAGGCUCGAAAGCAUGGGUAGCGAACAGG
rnacentral:rRNA from 1 species